AACGUAGGAGACAAACGUUAUCCGGAGUUACUGGGCGUAAAGGGCGUGCAGGUGGUAGUUUAAGUCUGGCGUGAAAGCCUCCGGCUCAACCGGGGAAAGUCGUCGGAGACUGGAAUACUAGAGGGCAGUAGAGGCGUGUGGAAUUCCGGGUGUAGUGGUGAAAUGCGUAGAGAUCCGGAGGAACACCAGUGGCGAAAGCGACACGCUGGGCCGUACCUGACGCUAAGACGCGACAGCAUGGGGAGCGAACGGG
rnacentral:rRNA from 1 species